AUUGAACGCUGGCGGCAGGCCUAACACAUGCAAGUCGAACGGUAACAGGAAACAGCUUGCUGUUUCGCUGACGAGUGGCGGACGGGUGAGUAAUGUCUGGGAAACUGCCUGAUGGAGGGGGAUAACUACUGGAAACGGUAGCUAAUACCGCAUAACGUCGCAAGACCAAAGAGGGGGACCUUCGGGCCUCUUGCCAUCGGAUGUGCCCAGAUGGGAUUAGCUAGUAGGUGGGGUAACGGCUCACCUAGGCGACGAUCCCUAGCUGGUCUGAGAGGAUGACCAGCCACACUGGAACUGAGACACGGUCCAGACUCCUACGGGAGGCAGCAGUGGGGAAUAUUGCACAAUGGGCGCAAGCCUGAUGCAGCCAUGCCGCGUGUAUGAAGAAGGCCUUCGGGUUGUAAAGUACUUUCAGCGGGGAGGAAGGGAGUAAAUUUAAUACCUUUACUCAUUGACGUUACCCGCAGAAGAAGCACCGGCUAACUCCGUG
rnacentral:rRNA from 1 species